rnacentral:ncRNA from 2 species
GAAAAGAACAACAUCACCUGUGUCAAGGGAAUCUCCGGUGUGAAUCCGGAAGCGGUACUCGCCACUGUAUGACGCGACACCACACGAACCGCCUCGCCCCGCGCGAGGCCACUAGGGGCAAACACGCCCCCGGGAAGGCCUGAAAACCUCGCCACCAACGAGGUGUCGGCGGCCGUGUGACGGCGUUGAAGCCAGGAGACCUACAGGAGAUGACCGGUUUUA